UAUGUACUCCUUCGUCCGAAAAUACUUGUCGUAGGAAUAGUUGUAUCUAUUUGUAUUUUAGUUCUAAAUACUCCAUUUAUAUCCAUUUUUAUGACAAGUAAUUUUGGAUGGAGGGAGUAUUUG
rnacentral:pre_miRNA from 1 species